UGCGGAAGGAUCAUUAAAGAGUAAGGGUGCUCAGCGCCCGACCUCCAAACCCUUUGUUGUUAAAACUACCUUGUUGCUUUGGCGGGACCGCUCGGUCUCGAGCCGCUGGGGAUUCGUCCCAGGCGAGCGCCCGCCAGAGUUAAACCAAACUCUUGUUAUUAAACCGGUCGUCUGAGUUAAAAUUUUGAAUAAAUCAAAACUUUCAACAACGGAUCUCUUGGUUCUCGCAUCGAUGAAGAACGCAGCGAAAUGCGAUAAGUAAUGUGAAUUGCAGAAUUCAGUGAAUCAUCGAAUCUUUGAACGCACAUUGCGCCCCUUGGUAUUCCGAGGGGCAUGCCUGUUCGAGCGUCAUUACACCACUCAAGCUAUGCUUGGUAUUGGGUGCCGUCCUUAGUUGGGCGCGCCUUAAAGACCUCGGCGAGGCCUCACCGGCUUUAGGCGUAGUAGAAUUUAUUCGAACGUCUGUCAAAGGAGAGGACUUCUGCCGACUGAAACCUUUUAUUUUUCUAGGUUGACCUCGGAUCAGGUAGGGAUACCCGCUGAACUUAAGCAUA
rnacentral:rRNA from 1 species